rnacentral:sRNA from 1 species
CGGGCGGCGCUGUGUCCGUCGCCAUGACAGAUCAGACCUAUUGUGACCGCCUGGUGCAGGACACGCCUUUCCUGACAGGCCACGGGCGCUUGAGUGAGCAGCAGGUGGACAGGAUCAUCCUCCAGCUGAACCGUUACUACCCACAGAUCCUUACCAACAAGGAGGCGGAAAAGUUCCGGAACCCUAAGGCAUCCUUGCGUGUGCGGCUCUGUGACCUCCUGAGCCACCUGCAGCGGAGCGGUGAGCGGGACUGCCAGGAGUUCUACCGAGCCCUGUAUAUCCAUGCCCAGCCCCUGCACAGCGCCUGCCCAGCCGCCACGCUCUGCGUAAGUUCCACAUCACCAACCAUGCAUGCUUGGUGCUGGCCCGGGGAGGGCACCCCAGCCUGCCAUUGAUGGCAUGGAUGUCCUCCAUGACCACCCAAGUCUGCUGCAGCCCAGGCCUGGCAUCCCCUCUCGCCUCAGCCCCUCCCCAGAGGCCACCCUCUGGCCCCGAGGGGAGAGUGGCAGGCACAGGCAGUGCAGAUGUUGGUCUCUGUCUCCCACUUUCUCCCCCUUCCUCUGUCUCUCUCUCUCAUGGCAGUUUUCACACAGCAUGGGGCAUCUUAUACGUCCACUCUUGCCCUUCCUUUUCUAACCUCAUUCCACGGGGAUCCUUUCAUGUCUGUGUGGACAGCAGCCUUGUUCCCACAGCUGCAUGGUGCUCCUAGGCGGUCCCAGCUGGAAUUACCCAACCCCAUGACGGACCCUUUCAUUGCAGCGAUCUGCACACGUGUGGGUGUUUCCAUAGGAC